rnacentral:rRNA from 1 species
UACGUAGGGGCAAGCGUUAUCCGGAUUUACUGGGUGUAAAGGGAGCGUAGGUGGCAAAGUAAGUCAGAUGUGAAAGCCCGUGGCUUAACUGCGGGAUUGCACCAGAAACUGCAUUGCUAGAGUGCAGGAGAGGUAAGUGGAAUUCCUAGUGUAGCGGUGAAAUGCGUAGAUAUUAGGAGGAACAUCAGUGGCGAAGGCGGCUUACUAAACUACUACUGACGCUCAGGCACGAAGGCGUGGGGAUCAAACAGGAUUAGAUACCCCU